GGCGCUUUGGCCGAGCGGUCUAAGGCGAGAGACUAGAAAGCGAUUAAUCAGCUUCUGACAUCUCUUAUCUUCGGAUGCGCAGGUUCAAAUCCUGCAGGCGUCG